UACGUAGGUGGCAAGCGUUAUCCGGAUUUAUUGGGCGUAAAGAGAACGCAGGCGGUCUUUUAAGUCUGAUGUGAAAGCCUUCGGCUUAACCGGAGUAGUGCAUUGGAAACUGGGAGACUUGAGUGCAGAAGAGGAGAGUGGAACUCCAUGUGUAGCGGUGAAAUGCGUAGAUAUAUGGAAGAACACCAGUGGCGAAAGCAGGUCUCUGGGCCGUUACUGACGCUGAGGAGCGAAAGCGUGGGGAGCGAACAGG
rnacentral:rRNA from 1 species